UAUUACAGAAUAAGAUGUUUAUCCAAAGGAUGUUACCAAUAAAGUGAAGAAAAAGACCACUAGGAAUCUGAGAAAACAGUAUUAACCUGAGAAGCUUCAAUCGGUUCCGGCAAGUUUUCCAAGUAGAGCUCCCACUCCUGACUAUGCCAAUCGGCGACUUCAUCUUCCUUUGCCAUCCUCCCAUUUAUGAACUCAUUUGCCAGUGAAACAAUCUGUUUAUAAAUAGUUGAAUCAGGUUCAUAAGCAUCAGGAGGAAUGCCAGUACCUUCCGUCCAGCGCACCAAGUCAAUCUGGUUCUCUAUGCCAGGUAUGUUAGCUUUAAGGAAGUCAAGGAAUGUUUCAGUAUCAAUUGAUUGGAACUUGAAGGUAGCAAUAUAUUUCUUCAGAAACUCAUCGAAUGCAGGUCUCCCAACCUGUCCCAACCACACCAAAAUUAACCACAAAAAAGUCAGUUCCAACAAAUUAGGUUAAGUUUAGCCCCAGAAUGACAAACAGACCAUGCACACAUGUUACAACCAAACAUGAGAAGAGAAAAAGAAACAGUUGCAAAGUAUGAACAUAGCUUAAAAAUUAAUACUUUUAGUUAAUGCAGAAUCUCUGCAAAACAAAAACAAAUAUCAGGAGGAAUAUGAUGCAAAAUGGGUAUGUCACAUCAGAACAAGAAAAAACAAAUUCAGAUACCUGUCGUUCAAUGCGCCAUAAGAACUGGAAACCUUUCUCAUAUGGAACCUGAGAAUACACAUCAUCUGGGUCAAUUCCUUCCUGAUUAUUUUUUAGCUUUGUAAAUUCCAAGUUGUCCUCGAACCUCUCAACAUCCCCGAUCAAACCCCUCCAACCAAUUCCAGUGUUCAAUGCGGCUAUUUGUUCUCCUUGUACAGCCUCCACAAUCCUUCUCUCCGCAUAAGUAGUGAAGCCCUGGAAUCACAAUCAGGUAUUAUGUCACCAUCACAAAUUCAACUUUGCUUAGAGAAACCACAAAACAAUUAUGUUUAUGGAUUAAAAAUCCAACAUCUAGCACCAGAACACUAUUUGUUUCUCCGUGGCAACUUGCCAAAUACGGAAACUAGAAACAGAAAAACAUAAUACUGUCUUUACACGAUUUUUAUUAUUUUAGAAGGAUGAACUCAACGAAUUGCUCUCUAAUUAGGCAGGACUUGAAAGCAUAAGCACAACAACAAAAGUACUGAUGUAUAAUUAACCCAUUGUAGGAUUGACUCUAAUUAGAAUGGAUUCAUGUUCUGAUGUUGUUUACUCUAAAAACAAUUUAGCAGUACAUAUAUAAAUUUUUUACCCACCUAGAUUUGCUUUAAUCAAAAGUCAAUCCUGGACCCAGAAGAGCUAUUCAAUGUCUGAAUGUCCACUUAUAUAAUUACGUUUAGCCAAUAUGUCUGCUAUUUUUUGGUGAACAAAAGUCAAUUGGAUCCACUAAACAAGCUGAUAUAUUAGACAUCUCAACACGAUUUUUUCGAUGACAUGACAUGAAACCAAAAACCCAGCAAAAUACCUCGUUCAACCAGAAAUGUUCGUUGUUCUUGUUGGUAAUCAAAUUCCCAGUCCAACUAUGAGCAAGCUCAUGAGCCACAACCUGCGCCCCGGUCGCAUCCCCCUUAACAACAGUGGGCGUCAAGAACACCAUCCUUGGAUUCUCCAUCCCCCCAUAGGGAAAACUAGGCGGCAAAACCAACAAAUCAAACCUCUCCCACUCGUACGGUCCGAACAGCCUCUCCCCUUCCCUGAUCAUCUCCUCCGUCCCGGCGAACUCCGCCGCCGCCGAGUCCAACACAGAGGCCACAUCCUCCGCGUACACCCUCGUCCUGGGCCCCACCUCCCUAUUCCCAAGCGCCCCGACAGCGAACGCGAAGAGGUAAGGCGGCACGGACUGCUCCAUCUCGAACUCCUCCACCACCCUCCCUUCCGCGCACCAUGGAGAGGGUGUAGCGACGUCCAAAGCGUCGUCUUUUUCGGGCGAACGACGCUGCACGUGGCGCGCCGCCAUGACAGCGGAGAGCUCCGACGGGAUGUUGAGGCGCGCGGAGUAGCGUAUCCGGACGGCGGGGGUGUCCUGGCAGGGGAAGACGGAGCGGGCGUGGAUGGCCUGGCAUUGGGUGUAGACGAAAGGGUGGGACUUGGCGAAGGUUUGGGGUGGUAGGAGCCAUUGGAGUGCGGAGGAGGAGGGGGAGGUGGAGUAGAUGAUGAGAAAAGAGGAGUGAUCGGAGAGGGUGAUGGAGAGCUUCGACCCUUUUAUGGGGUCCGGCGAGGAGAGAGUGAAGGGGAGAGAGGCUCUGCUUGUGGGGUCGAUGAUGCCAUGGAUGGUGAGGGACCUCGUGUCCAGGGAGAAUGGCCCCCGGUGUGGCCUUUCCAGAAGGAAGAGCCCGGAGGCGUGAAUGAUGGAGGUCGAGAAGUCCAGGUACAGACUCAGGGACACGUGCUUCGUCCGUGGCUGCGAUGCCUCCGUGAACGAGUGAGGGUCAACCGCUGCCAUUGCAGUAACUUCAAACUCUCUGUUUCUCUGUUUCUCUGUUUCUUAAAGUAAAAAUAGAAGCACCAACAACAAUUUCCUUCUGCUUUAUUACCUGUAUAAAGUAGCACCGAGAACAAUUCGAUUAUGCUUUAAGCUUAAUUAAUUAAUUAAUUAAACUUUAACUGAAAGGGUUUUAAAGAAAGCGCCUGGUCAAGCCCAAUGAAGAAGUGGGACUGGGCCUGGGCCGUGGUAGUAAAGAAGCGAGAGGGCCCAUAGUUAAUCCACACUGACUUGACCAACGAAAUCGUGAAGUCCAAAAAAGGCCGUAUAAAUAAUAGGAGUAAGUUAGGUGAAGUCUAAAAAAUGAAAAAAAUGAAAAAUCUGUUCAAUACAUUUUUAUACCAAAUAAUCUGAUUUCAUAAUGCAUUGUUUGAGUCCAAUUUUCUAAAUCAAUGAAUAUCAAAUGUUUCAACAACUAACAAACGUUAAGACCUCAGAUGACAGUUAUAUAUGCAAAGGAAAUUUAAGUAAAUUAGAAUCCUACAUUGUUGCGUGGACAGCUUUGGACAAUGUCAACUGCUCAGAUGCUCCCAUAACCCAUCUGAUGCAAAUAUGAGAAACUGAUCUUGAGGACACAAUUUCUGUACCAGUAUUGCUGGUUCAGCUUUAAGGAUUUUUAUAUAACGAAGAUGUAGAAAACAUGCCUGGAAAGUUAUAUAAUAUGGUGCAAAUUAAUCUUCGAAAGAUGUAAUAACUCUCUUACCACUAACGUGAUUUUGUUUCAGAGGAAAGAUUGUUGCCCUCUUUUUGUACCUAUUUUAGCAAUAAUCACACAUUAAACAAUCACCACUUAAACAGUUGUUUCAUUCCAUCUCAGCCUUUUUUUCUUCAACUAGUAUGAUAAUAUGCAAUUCAAUUUUGUGUUUUAAAUUUUUAUUUAAAAGUAUGUUAACAAGUGUAAUUAUAUCUAAAAGAUCGUCCACUAUCUAUUGUUUAAAUAGAAGUGAAUUAUGGAGAAACAUCUCAUUAAAUUAAAUCGUGUAGACUUGUCAGUUAGAAAAUUAAUAUUUGUUAUUUCAAUUUUUUAAUUAAUUUUUAUAAAUUAAAAAAAUUAAGGUAAUGUCAAAAAAAGUCUAAUCAAUUCAUUCGCUCUUUCAUAAUUAAAAUUAAAAUUAAUAUAAAUGCAUUAAUUUUGAAGAUAAAAAAGACAAAAAAUCCUCAAUAUAAUGAAAAUUCUUAGUAUAUAAAAAUCUUACAGGAGAAAUCUCCAUCACCAAUUCUUAUGUACUCUUUUUCCUCUCCACAUAACCCUAUACCAAUGGCUGAAAUGCUUCAAGAAGAAUUAUUAUGAAAGAGAUUCUCGUUGCAGUAGUUGUUAAAGAGAUAAACCUCAUUUAUUGUAAAGGAGUACAGAAAAAGACAACAUGCAAACGUCCAAAUACUUAUUGUAAAGGAGUACGGACACAGACAACAUGCAUACGUAAAAGUACAGACAAAGACAACAUGCAAACGUCCAAAUACAUUAAACAAUCCGAUAAUUAUUCCUUCUACGGAUUACCGGAAAGUAUGCCCUCAAUAACACCUUGAGCAAUCGGAUGGUAAGACUCACGGGCUUCUGAAAAUACUUUAUUGGCAAAUUCUUUGUCAUCUUCGCUCCCACUCACAAGAGCAGUAUAAAGUGGUUGAAUAAACUUAAGCCUCCCAACUUCUUUUAAGGUUUUCUCCACUUCAUCGUAGUACGUUUUGAUUCCGCAUGAAAUAGCCCAUUUCAGAAAUGCCGUCUUUACCUCGUAAUCUUUCGACUCAGCUAGCUUGUAGCGUGAGUCCAAUUCUACAAGCUGCAUGAUGACAUGAUGAAUAACACAGAUAACAUAUGUGAAAAUCAAGAAUAUGGUUGUUUUGAAUAAACCACUAUGUUCCAUAUUACAGAAGCAAGUAGGAAUCUGAGAAAACAGUAUUAACCUGAGAAGCAUCAACCGGUUCCGUGAAGCUUUCCAAGUAGAGCUCCCACUGCAGACCUUGCCAAUCAGCAACUUCAUCUUCCUUUGGAAUCUUGCCAUUUUUGAACUCAUUUGCCAGUGAAACAAUCUGUUUAUAAAUAGCUGAAUCAGGUUCAUAAGCAUCAGGAGGAAUGCCAGUACCUUCCGUCCAGCGCACCAAGUCAAUCUGGUUCUCUAUGCCAGGUAUGUUAGCUUUAAGGAAGUCAAGGAAUGUUUCAGUAUCAAUUGAUUGGAACUUGAAGGUAGCAAUAUAUUUCUUCAGAAACUCAUCGAAUGCAGGUCUCCCAACCUGUCGUUCAAUGCGCCAUAAGAACUGGAAACCUUUCUCGUAUGGAAUCUGAGAAAACACAUCAUCUGGGUCAAUUCCUUCCUCAUUAUUUUUUAGCUUUGUAAAUUCCAAGUUGUCCUUGAACCUCUCGACAUCCUCAAUCAAACCCUUCCAACCAAUUCCAUUGUACAAUGCUGCUAUUUCUUCUCCUUGUACAGCCUCCACAAUCCUUCUCUCCGCAUAAGUAGUGAAGCCCUGGUAUGAUUUCACCAUCACAUAUUCAACUUUGUUCAUACAAACCACAAAAUUAAUAAUUAUGUUUGUGAAUUAAAGAUUUUAAUCAAAAGUCCUGCACCCAUAAUAGCUAUUCAACGUCUGAAUGUUCACUUAUAUUAUUACGUUAGCCAAUAUGUCUGAUGUUUUUGGGGAACACAAGUCAAUUGGAGCCACUAAACAAGCUGAUAUUCUAGACAUCUGUAACACGAUUUUUCUAAUUACAUGUCAUGAAACUAAACACCCAGCACAGUUAGAACUGGAGAAAUCAAACUAAGCUAUAACUAAUUAUAUUAUAAUAAACUAAAAAAAACUAAACUAGUUAAAGAUAAUAAUUUAACUGAAAUAUUUUAG
rnacentral:lncRNA from 1 species